rnacentral:lncRNA from 1 species
GUGUGGGGGGGUUGUGUGUGGGGGUGUGUGGUGUGUGUGUGAGUGUGUGUGUGUGGGGUGUGUAAGGUGAUUGAUGAAAUGCACUCUAUGCUCUCACCUGACUCAGAUGCACGCAAAAUGCAUGUUUCUUUUUUCUUUUUCUUUCUUCCUUUUUUUUUUUUUUUUUGAGAUGGAGUCUCGCUCUGUUGCCCAGGCUGGAGUGCAGUGGCACGAUCUCGGCCUACUCCAACCUCCGCCUCCCGGGUUCAAAUGAUUCUCCUGCCUCAGCCUCCUGAGUAGCUGGGAUUACAGGCACCUGCCACCAUGCCCAGCUAACUUUUGUAUUUUUAGUAGAGAGGGAGUUUCCCCAUGUUGGCCAGGCUGGUCUCAAACUCCUGACCUCAGGUGAUCGCCCACCUCGGCCUCCCAAAGUGCUGGGAUUACAGGCAUGAGCCACCGCGCCCGGCCUGUUUCUAUAACUCAUCUCAUUUUGCUCUGGAAAACUGAUGGCAGGAAAAAUAAAUUUAAAAAGAAAUUUGCUGGCUAAGUAGAACUUAUUCUCUCCAGAUUUAAGACAGCGUCUCUGGAUAAAAUAUUCAGUUAAAGUUCAAACUUCAGACAGGCUCUGUGCAAAUUUCAAAAGGUGCCUCUUCCUCUAGGCAGCCAGGGCAGCUCUGCACCAGGUGGGGGUCAAGAUUUCAGGUGCCCUCGCCCUUCUCAGCCAGGCCUCCUUGAACAGUGAACAACCUGUGUAGCUGUCCAUGGUGGCUUAGUCAAGCUCUCCAAGGAAACUGUCUCAUCUCAAGAGGUCUCCCUUCCCCCGCAUCCCUUCUCCUUUUUCCAAGGGGGCUUCAGAGGAGGCAGCUUAUGUGUCUGUGGGGUUGGGGGAGGGAUCUCCAGCCCUUGUUUUGGACUUUAGUCCUCAGAUCCGAAGGCCACUCUCAGAUGGGCCUGGCUUCCCCAGGACUGAAUAUCCAACGUGGCCCUCAUCCUGCAUCUGAGGCCAAGCAUGUCUGCAGGCCACACCCCCAGCCUCUGUGACACCUGGUCUUUGCAGCUCUCAUCAGGACACCAUCAGGACAUCAUAUAGGGUGAAAUAUGAAUGAAAGCUGUCAUUGGCGCCUGAAGCCCCCACCUUCCCUGUUGGCAGGGUAGGAAGUUAGAGUGCGUGGCCUUUGGCCUUGAGGCUGCUGGUGCCGUGGAAGGCAAGGCCUGCAAAGGCGUCCUGGGUUUAGGGAGUGCUUUGAGGGGUCUGCUGACUCCUGGUGCCCCUCUGCGGUCGACCCCAGAGUGCAGGCACCCAAGGCUGCCUGGGGGCUGGGAUUGGAGGCACCUGGUUGGUGUGGGGCAGCUUUGUCAGGGAGGGGCUGAGCAGGGCAGCCCCUGCCUUCCCAGUCCUCCCAGUCUGGGCUGAGUGGGCCGAGGGACCAGGCUGCGGCUGUAGCCACCUGCUGCGCCCACCCCCUGCCUGUGUGCUCUGUUGCCUGGGGCAGGCCUGGGUGUCCCAGGGCUCUCAGCCUCAGCUUUCUGGAACCAGACUUUGUCCCCUUGCCAGGUGACCUUGCCCCUGCUGCCCUGGCCUGGGCAAAUCUCAGCGCCUCCCUCCCAUCCUCCCACUGGGGGCUUGCGGGGCUUUUCUUUCCACCCACAACCACCCCCUGGGGGCCCAGCUCCUGCUGCCCUUCCAGAUAACUCUGGGGAGGCUAUGGCCUUUGAAAAGAGAGCGUGAGCCACCUUGUCUGGCCAUAAAUAACCUUCUGAAGGAAAAACCAAACGUUUUUCUCUCUCACACUCAACACAGAAUGUGUCUAAAAUGUGUGGGGAUUUCUCCUUAUCAGCAAGCAGUUCUCCAGUGGACACGCUGGGCAUCCUCUAGUUCAAUUCAAUUCUGACACUGUCUACCCGAAGUUAGCAUCAGAUCCCACAGAAUGAGGGCUCAGUCCUAUGAGACUGCCCCCGACUUCCGAUGCCAAUUGCAACCCCAGGUUGUUUUACCUGCACUUCUGACCAAUGGGCUGUAAAUCAACAGGUUCCCACAACUCCCUCCUCAGAUUUCAUAGAUCUAGAGCAGCUCACAGAACUCAGGGAGACACUUUAGCCAUUUGUUUUAAGGGAUAUGACAAAGGCUGUAGGUGAACAGCCAGGUGGAAGGGGGUGUGCAGGGCUGGGCAUGCCAGUGGGAGCGCAUGCCAUGCGCUCUCCGGGGACGCCUACCUCUGGGAACCUCCACGUGUUCAGCAACCAGGAAGCCCUUCCAAACCCUGACCUUUUGGGUUUUUGUGGAGACUUCAUUACAUAGGUAUGAUUGGUUACAUCACUGGACAUGGGUCAUCAACCUCACCUUCAGCCCCUCUCCCCUCCCCGGAGGUCCAACUCUCUAAUCAUGUGGUUGGUUCUCCUGGCAACCAGCCCUCCAUCCUGAGGCUAUCUGGGGACCCACAAAGAGUCCGAGUCCCCUCGUUAUAACAAAAGGUGCUCCUAUUGCUGACGCAUUCCAAGGGAUUUAGGAGUUCUGGGUCAAAAACCAGGGUCAAAGACUGAAUAUUAGGCUGGGCGCAGUGGCUCACGCCUGUAAUCCCAGCUACUUGGGAGGCCGAGAUGGGAGAAUCGCUUGAACCCAGGAGUUUCAGACCAGCCUGGGCAACUUAGCAAAACCCCGUCUUUAAUAAAAUAAGCCAGGCAUAGUUGUGCAUGUGCCUGUAGUCCCAGCUACUCGAGAGGCUGAGGCGGGAGGAUCACUUGAGCCCAGGAGUUUGAGGCUGCAGUGAGCCAUGUUCACACCACUGCAUCCCAGCCUGAGUGACAGAGCAAGACGCUGUCUCGAAACCAAUCAACAAAAAACCCCCCAAAUAUUAGAACAAAAGAGUCCCCUUAACCCCCUGUCUACAAGGGUUUUACUUAAGAACCCACAGCAGAGACUAUGUAUUUCUUAUUUUAUAUCACAAUAAGAAAGAUCUCUUACAAUAUCCCAUACCUCCUUUUUCUAAAGGAAGUUAAUCAUAGCAGUUUCAAGUUAGGGUUCUUUUCUCUUUUUUCUAGAGAUAGAAUCUCACACUGUUGCUCAGGCUGGAGUGCAGUGGCGAGAUUAUAGCUCACUGCAGCCUCAACCUCCUAAGCUCAGGUGAUCCUCCUGCCUCAGCCUCCUGAGCAGCUGGGACUAUAGGUGUGCACCACCAGGCCUGGCUAAUUUCCUUUUUGUAGAGAUGGGGUCUCGCUAUGUUGCCCAGGCUGGUCUGGAACUCCCGGCCUCAAGCAAUCCGUCUGCCUUGGUCUCCCAAAGUGUUGGGAUUACAGGUGUGAGCCACCACGCCUGGUCCCUCAAGUUAGAAUUGUUGAAGGAAUUAAAUGAGAUUGUCCACUUGACAUUAACGACUCAUUUAAUUUAAUGGGUACAUUAAAAAAACAAAAAACAAAACCCUAGUAAGAAUCGGCGCUUCUUCUUAUGUGGUGACUGACUUGGAAUCCUAGCCCUUUAACCUACAGCACCCAAGAGCCCUUUAACCUAUGGCACCCAUAACUUCUCCCUCUCGCUCACCCGCCUCCAGCCACCCGGGUCUCUUUGCUGCUCCUCAUACGGGAACACACUCUUCCACCUGGGGUCUCUGCACCUGCUGCCGCCUCCCCUAAUGUCCCAUGGCUCCCUCAUUCCCCUGCAGGGCUCACAGCCUCACCUCCCUUGGGUGUCCACAAAAUAAAAUGCACACAGCAGCCCCCCUUUCCCUUCUCCAUUCUCCUGGCGC